CUACGGGUCGCUGCAGUGAGGAAUUUUGCGCAAUGGGGGAAACCCUGACGCAGCAACGCCGCGUGAGCGAAGAAGGCCCUCGGGUCGUAAAGCUCUGUCAAGUGGGAAAAAAAUCUUUUGAUCAAUAGUCAAAAGACUUGAUGGUACCACUGGAGGAAGCACCGGCUAACUCCGUGCCAGCAGCCGCGGUAAUACGGAGGGUGCAAGCGUUGUUCGGAUUUACUGGGCGUAAAGAGCGUGUAGGCGGUUUAGCAAGUCAGAUGUGAAAGCCCUGGGCUCAACCCGGGAAGUGCAUUUGAAACUGCUUCACUAGAGUAUGGGAGAGGAGAGUGGAAUGCCUGGUGUAGAGGUGAAAUUCGUAGAUAUCAGGAGGAACACCCGUGGCGAAGGCGAUUCGCUGGACCAAUACUGACGCUGAGACGCGAAAGCGUGGGGAGCAAACAGGAUUAGAUACCCUAGUAGUC
rnacentral:rRNA from 1 species